rnacentral:rRNA from 1 species
AGUGAACGCUGGCGGUAUGCCUAACACAUGCAAGUCGAACGGCAGCACAGUAAGAUCUUUCUCUUACUGGUGGCGAGUGGCGGACGGGUGAGGAAUACAUCGGAAUCUUCUUUUUCGUGGGGGAUAACGUAGGGAAACUUACGCUAAUACCGCAUACGACCUACGGGUGAAAGCAGGGGAUCUUCGGACCUUGCGCGAUUGAAUUAGCCGAUGUCGGAUUAGCUAGUUGGGUGGGUAAAGGCCCACCAAGGCGACGAUCCGUAGCUGGUCUGAGAGGAUGAUCAGCCACACUGGAACUGAGACACGGUCCAGACUCCUACGGGAGGCAGCAGUGGGGAAUAUUGGACAAUGGGCGCAAGCCUGAUCCAGCCAUACCGCGUGGGUGAAGAAGGCCUUCGGGUUGUAAAGCCCUUUUGUUGGGAAAGAAAAGCAGUAGGUUAAUACCCCGCUGUUCUGACGGUACCCAAAGAAUAAGCACCGGCUAACUUCGUG